rnacentral:tRNA from 1 species
GCCCGGGUGGCGAAACUGGUAGACGCAUGGGACUUAAAAUCCCUUGGAAGAUUCUUCCGUGUCGGUUCGAGUCCGACCCCGGGCACCA